AUGACAGUAAAAAUUCUCAUGAGAUGGACAGUUUCCAGAAUUUCCCCAUUUUCAAACCAGUACAGUAAAUGACAUUGGGGCCUCUGAGUGAAAGCAAUGGUUGAUUUCUUAUUUUUAUUUUCAGGGGUGUGUAUCCCACCAAAGUCUGGGGGAGUUUAAUUUGCCUGGGACACCUUUGGCAAGGGUACCAGGCACCAGCCUAAGCUCUCACUCUCAUUUCCAGACUAAGGGCCUCCUGUGACCUGUAGCUGGGAGCCACAGGGAAUGGCAGCAGCCUUCUCUGAGGCCAAGGACAAGUAUACACUUGGGCUCUGCCUCAGGCUGCCCUGGCCUCUUCUCUCCCUGUGGGCCUCACUGGAUGUCUGUACACCCAGCCUUCACUGCCUUGCCUCCUGGUGUUCUCUGCUUGUGCAAGGAAGGCACAGGAGGAAGGAGUCCAGCCAUGCAAAAGGUUCCUUUCAGCCCUUCCCAUACUGACUACAAGUAGCUGUCGAGAGGUUAGAAUAAGGCUUGUAGACGAGAGGAGUCUGUAUCUGGAAAUCUUUUACUACCCUAAGUUGAAAAGUUUAAUAAUUUUAAUUCAAAGUUGAGACCCUGUUGAGAGAACUCCAUUAGUAUUUAUGACUGUGGCCUUCUCAUUGAAGGGUCUGUUCGACUUUGGAAUGCCAAAGCAGGACCCUCUGUUCUUCUGUGAGUUAUGAAAUCCUGUAUUUCUUUAGAAGUAUUUCAUUUUGUGUAAUGAAGUCAAAGGUCAGAGUGACUCAGUGUUCCAUGAACUGGGUGUUUUUGUAGAAUGAGCAGUAAAUUUAUCUCCUAACCAGGCUGGGUUAAUUAAAAUUACACUGCCUGUCUCUGGCAAUCAUCAGGAAAGGAUAUUCUGUUUCUUAUUUUAUUCCUAAGGCUUUUAAUUUUUUAUUAUUAUUUUUUUAACUACUGUGUUCCUGCCAGAUUUGAUGAGCGUGACAUAGCCCAGGCACAUCCCUGGAGUGUGCAAUGUUUUUGGCUCUUCAGAUGCUGAUAGAGAUGUGGCUACACAGGGUGGAUGUGGGAGGUUUAUUGGCCUAGGGCCCAGAGAGCCACCUAGGGGCUCCUCCCUCUGAUACAAUUCCAGCUGUCUGAGGAUGGAAAUCAAGUCAGCUGCAGCACCUAAUUGUCCUGACAUUCGAGUAUCAGUUUGUCACCUAUAGAGGCCUUUUCCUGACCUCUCCUCUUCUGAAGGAACUCUCCCUACUCACUGUCCAUCCCCUUACCCUAUUUUUUCUCAUACAACUCCAUCUGAAAUGAUGUACUAAUGCAUAUACUUGUGUUUUACCAGCCUUGCCAUGUGGAAUAUAAACUCCAGAAGCAAGAGCAGCAUCUGCCUUGUCCCUGCUGUAUCCUCAGCACCCAAGAGAGUGUCUGACACUCUAGUAGACAAUUGAUAAAUACUUAUUGAGGGCAGAGAUUGCUUGCUUUUCAUUCAAACAGCUCCUUGCAGCCCUGUCCUGAAAGUCUGGUCUCUCUAGCAUUCCUUUACAACUUCUCUUUUUCAUGUUUUGUCUCAGAAGCUGCAAAGGGCUCCUGAUGUGGGGUCUCCUGCAAGAUGCCCACUUCUCUCUCCCAGGCCAGCUCCCAGCAACCCCUCUGCACUCAAAGUGCCCAGAAAACAGCAGCCUUUCUGCCCUCAAAAAGAUAGUUACUUCCUGUAAGGGUUGAGCAGGUUUGAAAAUUUUUUCAAGCCAGGCCUUAGGCCAAAACUCUUCAUUAAAUCAGGCAUUUUCCAGCUGGCCUAGCACAGAGAGGCCUUUCCCACUACAGCUGGGACCCAUUGUCAAGUAGAUUUCCUGAGUAAAACUUUGUUCCUUCUAUAAAUAUUUAGCUGGAACGUAAAAUUAAAUUAAUGUUCUCCCACAUACUCCAGGGAGAAAGUAAAUUGCCAGAGCCUCAGAUAGACUCAGGAUGAGAACCUUUUCAGUAAUUGUCUACAAUCAGGUACAGCGGCCUCCUUUGUUGGUAUGCCUCAUUCACUGGUCUUCACAGGCAUGUUAAACGUCUUGUGCCUCAGUUAGAGGAGGUACCACUCUGGUCCCAGGUGAGCCCUGGCCUGGCCAUUCAGGAGGAGGGAGAUUGGCCUGAAUUAGGCUUCUUUUGCAAAUCCUUUUCACCAGUUUCUUUGAACAUUAGCAGUUUACAACUUCUCCAGUGGCAGGAUGGUGCUGCUGCCCUAUUGGCACAUUCCUGGGUGCAAAGGUGAGGAGCACAGGCUCCCGGGUUGUCUGUCUCCUUCUUCCUGAUCCCCUUGGAGUCUUCUCUGGGAUUGGAAGUGGAGGAUCCAGGAGAAUGCCAAGGGGCCAGGGCAGGUAGGUCAGAAGGUGGCUUCCCUCUUCCCCUAGUGAGGGGAACAAGAGGCAGGGGAAGGGGAACCCUGAGAGCCAGAGAUGAGAAGCUGGGCCUUAGUGCCCUAUUGUGCUGGCUGGAGUCAUACGGGGCAGAGGCAUACUAACCAGAAGUGCCCCAAGAGUGCACCUGGCAAGAGUUCAGACUCUUGUCUAGACCCGUGUGGCUAGAUAGCCAUACCCAGGAAUGUGGGGAACACUGCAAUUGUGGACAGAGCUGAAGGUAGGAUUACCAUUCCCAACCCAUGGCCAACUUCGAAUUGUCCUUUUGAUAGGAUUGUUGCUCUGUUCUCAGGCCUCGCCUGUGGCUCUCUAGUCCUUGCUGGAUCUUCACUCAGCCAUUCACUCAUCUCCUUUUUCCGGUCCCUUCUUCCUCAGUCUUCCCCUCCAGCCCCAAUCCUCUCUCCAAGGAGCUUCUACAGAUGAACUUCUGCCUUAAGUAUUGUUACAAAGUCAGCCUACCAGUCUGUAUACAUAGCUGGUUCCUAGGGCUCUGGCACUGACACCAGAGGGAUGCAGCCAGGGGACCUAGAAAUCUCUCCUUAUGGGGCUGCACGGCCCAACUUCGCACAUGCCUUGUGCAAGGGCUUGAAUUUGCAGUUUGCGCCUAGCAGGUUCCAAAGCUCCUAUUUAUUCUUGAAGCUGUCUUGUUUCUAUUUUGAUUCUGCUAAUCCAAACUGCAGUUUGGUGUUUCCACGGAAACAAUUCAGUGAUUGUUUGGCUUGCCAAGAUGAACUGCGGGGGAGAGAACAGAAUGACGUAAAACAUUUUUAGUUUCUCAAAUAUGACUAUCCAUGUCUCCCCGAGAAGUCUCUGGUUCCAGCUCCCUGCAAACCUGAGGAAGUUUUAUUAAAAUAAAUGUUCUAGGUUCCUGUUCUCCCUCCAGCUAAAUCUCUGGAGACCCACUGGCCAAACCCCCCGCUCACAUCUGCCUGAAGCAGAG
rnacentral:lncRNA from 1 species